AGAAGCUGCAGAGAGGCCACUGAGAGCGGGCCUGGCCAUGUGGAGUGCCCUGUGCCUGGGCUUCUUGCCCAUUGUAGCCGUCUCGCUCGCCGGUGCAGCCACCUUGGAGCAGCCCAGGGAAGUGACCGUGCAAGAGGGAAAAGCAGUCACCUUGCAAUGCCGCAUGCAGGUGGAUUCUAUGAGGUACUACACCGUCUCGUGGUACCGAGAGCGCCGACAGGGCUCUCAGGAAUGGAUUUACAAGGAGGAUGGCACCUAUGGAGAAGGUUUCAAGGGUCGCUUUCAGAUAAAAGAUGAGAAGUUCAAGAACAGCUACACACUGCAGAUCCGGGCAGCAGAGCCAGGCGAUACAGCAAAGUAUUACUGUCGGUGUGGAGUCCGAUCCAUGGAUGACAUUUCUCCAGGAACUUCUCCAGUGCAGGUUCUUCCCUUUGGCUGCAGUUCCUCACAAACUCCUAAAGCCUAA